rnacentral:rRNA from 1 species
AUACGGAGGGGGUUAGCGUUGUUCGGAAUUACUGGGCGUAAAGCGUACGUAGGCGGACUGGAAAGUUGGGGGAGAAAUCCCGGGGCUCAACCCCGGAACUGCCUCCAAAACUUCCAAUCUAGAGAUCGAGAGAGGUGAGUGGAAUUCCAAGUGUAGAGGUGAAAUUCGUAGAUAUUUGGAGGAACACCAGUGGCGAAGGCGGCUCACUGGCUCGAUACUGACGCUGAGGUACGAAAGCGUGGGGAGCAAACAGGAUUAGAAACCCUAGUAGUCC